UACGGAGGGGGCGAGCGUUAUUCGGAAUUAUUGGGCGUAAAGGGCUCGUAGGCGGUUUGUCGCGUCGGGAGUGAAAACCUCGGGCUUAACUCGGGGCUUGCUUUCGAUACGGGCAGACUAGAGGUAUGCAGGGGAGAACGGAAUUCCUGGUGUAGCGGUGAAAUGCGCAGAUAUCAGGAGGAACACCGGUGGCGAAAGCGACGCACUGGAUCUCUACUGACGCUGAGGCGCGAAAGCUAGGGGAGCGAACGGG
rnacentral:rRNA from 1 species